GUAAAAAGGUGUCAGAGGCCAUGCGUCCCCGUCAGCCACGGGAUACAGACAGGGAAGGUGGGAAACUAGUUGAUACAGACAGGGAAGGUGGGAAACUAGUUGAUACAGACAGGGAAGGUGGGAAACUAGUUGAUACAGACAGGGAAGGUGGGAAACUAGUUGAUACAGACAGGGAAGGUGGGCAACUAGUUGGUACAGACAGGGAAGGUGGGCAACUAGUUGAUACAGACAGGGAAGGUGGGCAACUAGUUGAUACAGACAGGGAAGGUGGGAAACUAGUUGAUACAGACAGGGAAGGUGGGCAACUAGUUGAUACAGACAGGGAAGGUGGGAAACUAGUUGAUACAGACAGGGAAGGUGGGAAACUAGUUGAUACAGACAGGGAAGGUGGGAAACUAGUUGAUACAGACAGGGAAGGUGGGAAACUAGUUGAUACAGACAGGGAAGGUGGGAAACUAGUUGAUACAGACAGGGAAGGUGGGAAACUAGUUGAUACAGACAGGGAAGGUGGGAAACUAGUUGAUACAGACAGGGAAGGUGGGAAACUAGUUGAUACAGACAGGGAAGGUGGGAAACUAGUUGAUACAGACAGGGAAGGUGGGAAACUAGUUGAUACAGACAGGGAAGGUGGGAAACUAGUUGGUGUGCAGGGAGAGACAUAACAGCACUGAACAAGCUGCACCAAUUAGAUCCUGGUCAAUAUUCUCUGUUCA